GGCCCUGUAGAGCAAUGGUCAGCUCGUUGGACUUCGGAUCCAGAGGUUGCAGGUUCGAGUCCUGCCAGGGUCG